rnacentral:lncRNA from 1 species
AAAGUUUUACUGACAAAAGCUCAAGUAGUUAUAUUUGAAAAACUACACCAAAUAGAGUCAUUAAAAAUUGUGAAAGAACUUUUAGUCACUAGAUAAAUCAUACUAGAUAUUCACUUAUUGCAAGACUCUUCAAUUGUGAUAAUUCCUAAAUUCUCACAAAACUCUAUGAAACAGUAAACUUUUGAUACUAUAAGAGGUUUUUUUUUUAAUUCAUUUUUAUUUUAAUUUUUGAAGUUUUUAAUUAUAUGGUUUAUAAUAAAUUCCAUUAAAAAUAGAACUUUAAUCGAAUCAAUUGAAGGUUAGUGGGAAAACAUCGCACACUUUUGUGGUACAUAUUUUAUUUUUAUUUUUUUUAAAAGAAAGUACAAGAAGAAAAACCACUAGUGUAAAUACUAAUUACAAAAGUCAAUAAAAAUAAAAUUUCCAGGAUGUGGGCUUGUAAAGAUAAAGUUGACCCAACAUCACAUUUUGCUUGUUUUAGGCCUUAGCAUAUAUAGAUUUGAUUGCCCAUUUCGCUUGACUAAUGAGUAAUGAACAUAAUUAUUAUCGACACGUGAAUGUGUACGAGUCUUCACUCCACUGUCCUGGUGCUUUCUUUCUUCAGCUUUCGGUUUAUAGUCAUAGCCCAUAGUCUUACCAAAGCUUAUUGACCAAUUAUUCAAUUUGAUUUGUUGUCGUUUAUGCAUUAAAUCAACGGACGGAUAAAUUGAUUCCUCGUGGUUUCUAUGUUAUAUUAACGGAUGCCAAUCAUGACAAACAAUCUCAAUCUUAGCCACAACUAUAUUAUUUAUUUUGGGUGAAUUUGGCACCUCCUAAUGACUUUUGAAAAAUCAAACACAACCAAACUUUAUUAAUUCAAUCAAUUGAAAUUUUGAAAUGAAUGAGGUUGGUUGAAAAGCAUCACACCCCUUUUCUUUUUUCUCUUUUGUAUUUUUUAAACAUUGCAUCACUUUACAAGCAUUCAUAUCAACUCUAAAAUAGCACCAUAUACAUACGCGAGUCCAAUACUUUGAAAUAUUUUUUAUGAAAAAGCUUCCACCACUAAUGCACACAUGCCUGGAAAGAUAAAGUGAUUUUUCUAGCCAAUUAGAUGUUGAUUCCCUGAAACAUAACAAAAAUGGAAAAGAAAAAGCAGAAAUGAGAAAGGACUGUUACGCCCCUGAAAAUUUUGAGAAAAUAAUUAUGAAAGGGAGCUGCUACCUUACAUGCAAUGUAAGGUACAGCCUCUAUCUGGGUCUCAUUUGGGCCCACAAGCCUUGUAAAAGACUGUACCUUACGUGCAUGUAAGGUAGCAAAAGUCAUUAUAAAAAUGUCUUAAGUUCGCAAUACCAAGAUUCCCUCUCUCUCUCUCUCUCUUUAAUCAUAAUAUCAUGGGAAAUUAUCAUUCGUAUACCUUAAAUUUAUACUUUUAUCAUAAAUACUAUAAUAUUUUAAGGGUGUAUCAAUCGUCUACCCUAAAUUGACAAAAGUUAUAUGCCGUCCACUAAAUCGUUAACUGCUGUUUGAAAGUUAACGGAAUAGUAACAAAUUGACGAUUUUACCUUAAAAAAUUAUCACUUGUAUACCCUUAAAUUAUCACUUAUAUCAUAUAAAAAGACUAGAUUACCCCUCUAACAUCAUCAUAUUUAAAUGGCAACUAACAGUUUGGUGGACGACAUAUAUAUUUUGUCAACUUAGGGUGGAUGACUGAUAAUGUUGUAGUAAAUUUGAUAACGGAGUAAACUAAGGGUAUACGAUUGAUAAUUUCUCUAAUAUCAUUUAUAUACAGUGACUAAAAAAUUAAUUUUAAAAUUUU